GACAGACCUCUUGUGUGUGCUUAAGCAGCAGUCUGAGGAAGUAAAGAGUUGGGUUUGAAGACAAAUGGAGACAUGUUGUGACAUACAAAGAAACUCCAGGGAAUGACAGAGGAGCAGAACAGGAUUCUACGCCUUGGAUGAUUGGCAAACUAAAUAUGGUGUCUUGGUUUCCACUUGGCUGCACACUGCCUGGAUGUGGCUCAUGACGGGAGCUGAGAUCAUGAUAAAAACCUUGUCUUUCUGGGAGACAGGUUGGCAGAAGCUGGGACUAACAACAGGAGCUUACCCCAAUCCCCGGAUUCGAACCACCGACCUUUCAGUCAGCAAGUUCAGCAGCUCAGUGGUUUAACCCACUGCACCACCAGGGGCUUCCUUUAAAAUAUAGCUUUCCUUAAAAACUAAACAAAAAAUUGCAGUAUUAAGGGAGAGAUUUUCCUCAUUACAUAUCUGUGUGGUGACACCCAAUCGACCUGAAAUAAUUGGCAUAGUUCUUUUUCAUCAGUCAUCAAAGAAAGCAAUUAUUUGAUGU